rnacentral:rRNA from 1 species
AGUGAACGCUGGCGGUAGGCCUAACACAUGCAAGCCGAACGGCAGCACAGUAAGAGCUUGCUCUUACGGGUGGCGAGUGGCGGACGGGUGAGGAAUACAUCGGAAUCUACUUUUUCGUGGGGGAUAACGUAGGGAAACUUACGCUAAUACCGCAUACGACCUACGGGUGAAAGCAGGGGAUCUUCGGACCUUGCGCGAUUGAAUGAGCCGAUGUCGGAUUAGCUAGUUGGCGGGGUAAAGGCCCACCAAGGCGACGAUCCGUAGCUGGUCUGAGAGGAUGAUCAGCCACACUGGAACUGAGACACGGUCCAGACUCCUACGGGAGGCAGCAGUGGGGAAUAUUGGACAAUGGGCGCAAGCCUGAUCCAGCCAUACCGCGUGGGUGAAGAAGGCCUUCGGGUUGUAAAGCCCUUCUGUUGGGAAAGAAAAGCAGCAGGUUAAUACCCCGCUGUUCUGACGGUACCCAAAGAAUAAGCACCGGCUAACUUCGUG